GAUUAAGUUAUUAAGGGCGCACGGUGGAUGCCUUGGCACUAGAAGCCGAUGAAGGACGUUACUAACGACGAUAUGCUUUGGGGAGCUGUAAGUAAGCUUUGAUCCAGAGAUUUCCGAAUGGGGAAACCCAGCAUGAGUUAUGUCAUGUUAUCGAUAUGUGAAUACAUAGCAUAUCAGAAGGCACACCCGGAGAACUGAAACAUCUUAGUACCCGGAGGAAGAGAAAGAAAAUUCGAUUCCCUUAGUAGCGGCGAGCGAAACGGGAAGAGCCCAAACCAACAAGCUUGCUUGUUGGGGUUGUAGGACACUCUAUACGGAGUUACAAAGGACGACAUUAGACGAAUCAUCUGGAAAGAUGAAUCAAAGAAGGUAAUAAUCCUGUAGUCGAAAAUGUUGUCUCUCUUGAGUGGAUCCUGAGUACGACGGAGCACGUGAAAUUCCGUCGGAAUCUGGGAGGACCAUCUCCUAAGGCUAAAUACUCUCUAGUGACCGAUAGUGAACCAGUACCGUGAGGGAAAGGUGAAAAGCACCCCGGAAGGGGAGUGAAAUAGAACCUGAAACCGUGUGCUUACAAGUAGUCAGAGCCCGUUAAUGGGUGAUGGCGUGCCUUUUGUAGAAUGAACCGGCGAGUUACGAUUUGAUGCAAGGUUAAGCAGUAAAUGUGGAGCCGUAGCGAAAGCGAGUCUGAAUAGGGCGUUUAGUAUUUGGUCGUAGACCCGAAACCAGGUGAUCUACCCUUGGUCAGGUUGAAGUUCAGGUAACACUGAAUGGAGGACCGAACCGACUUACGUUGAAAAGUGAGCGGAUGAACUGAGGGUAGCGGAGAAAUUCCAAUCGAACCUGGAGAUAGCUGGUUCUCUCCGAAAUAGCUUUAGGGCUAGCCUCAAGUGAUGAUUAUUGGAGGUAGAGCACUGUUUGGACGAGGGGCCCCUCUCGGGUUACCGAAUUCAGACAAACUCCGAAUGCCAAUUAAUUUAACUUGGGAGUCAGAACAUGGGUGAUAAGGUCCRUGUUCGAAAGGGAAACAGCCCAGACCACCAGCUAAGGUCCCAAAAUAUAUGUUAAGUGGAAAAGGAUGUGGCGUUGCCCAGACAACUAGGAUGUUGGCUUAGAAGCAGCCAUCAUUUAAAGAGUGCGUAAUAGCUCACUAGUCGAGUGACACUGCGCCGAAAAUGUACCGGGGCUAAACAUAUUACCGAAGCUGUGGAUUGUCCUUUGGACAAUGGUAGGAGAGCGUUCUAAGGGCGUUGAAGCAUGAUCGUAAGGACAUGUGGAGCGCUUAGAAGUGAGAAUGCCGGUGUGAGUAGCGAAAGACGGGUGAGAAUCCCGUCCACCGAUUGACUAAGGUUUCCAGAGGAAGGCUCGUCCGCUCUGGGUUAGUCGGGUCCUAAGCUGAGGCCGACAGGCGUAGGCGAUGGAUAACAGGUUGAUAUUCCUGUACCACCUAUAAUCGUUUUAAUCGAUGGGGGGACGCAGUAGGAUAGGCGAAGCGUGCGAUUGGAUUGCACGUCUAAGCAGUAAGGCUGAGUAUUAGGCAAAUCCGGUACUCGUUAAGGCUGAGCUGUGAUGGGGAGAAGACAUUGUGUCUUCGAGUCGUUGAUUUCACACUGCCGAGAAAAGCCUCUAGAUAGAAAAUAGGUGCCCGUACCGCAAACCGACACAGGUAGUCAAGAUGAGAAUUCUAAGGUGAGCGAGCGAACUCUCGUUAAGGAACUCGGCAAAAUGACCCCGUAACUUCGGGAGAAGGGGUGCUCUUUAGGGUUAACGCCCAGAAGAGCCGCAGUGAAUAGGCCCAAGCGACUGUUUAUCAAAAACACAGGUCUCUGCUAAACCGUAAGGUGAUGUAUAGGGGCUGACGCCUGCCCGGUGCUGGAAGGUUAAGAGGAGUGGUUAGCUUCUGCGAAGCUACGAAUCGAAGCCCCAGUAAACGGCGGCCGUAACUAUAACGGUCCUAAGGUAGCGAAAUUCCUUGUCGGGUAAGUUCCGACCCGCACGAAAGGCGUAACGAUUUGGGCACUGUCUCAACGAGAGACUCGGUGAAAUCAUAGUACCUGUGAAGAUGCAGGUUACCCGCGACAGGACGGAAAGACCCCGUGGAGCUUUACUGUAGCCUGAUAUUGAAAUUCGGCACAGCUUGUACAGGAUAGGUAGGAGCCUUUGAAACGUGAGCGCUAGCUUACGUGGAGGCGCUGGUGGGAUACUACCCUAGCUGUGUUGGCUUUCUAACCCGCACCACUUAUCGUGGUGGGAGACAGUGUCAGGCGGGCAGUUUGACUGGGGCGGUCGCCUCCUAAAAGGUAACGGAGGCGCUCAAAGGUUCCCUCAGAAUGGUUGGAAAUCAUUCAUAGAGUGUAAAGGCAUAAGGGAGCUUGACUGCGAGACCUACAAGUCGAGCAGGGUCGAAAGACGGACUUAGUGAUCCGGUGGUUCCGCAUGGAAGGGCCAUCGCUCAACGGAUAAAAGCUACCCCGGGGAUAACAGGCUUAUCUCCCCCAAGAGUUCACAUCGACGGGGAG
rnacentral:rRNA from 1 species